rnacentral:misc_RNA from 1 species
GAUGAAGAACGCAGCGAAAUGCGAUAAGUAAUGUGAAUUGCAGAAUUCAGUGAAUCAUCGAAUCUUUGAUCGCACAUUGCGCCCGCCAGUAUUCUGGCGGGCAUGCCUGUCUGAGCGUCAUUUCAACCCUCAUGCCCCUAGGGCGUGGUGUUGGGGAUCGGCCAAAGCCCGCGAGGGACGGCCGGCCCCUAAAUCUAGUGGCGGACCCGUCGUGGCCUCCUCUGCGAAGUAGUGAUAUUCCGCAUCGGAGAGCGACGAGCCCCUGCCGUUAAACCCCCAACUUUCCAAGGUUGACCUCAGAUCAGGUAGGAAUACCCGCUGAACUUAAGCAUAUCAAUAAGCGGAGGA